rnacentral:rRNA from 1 species
CUAUGCGCCUUGCCAGCCCGCUCAGGUGUGCCAGCAGCCGCGGUAAUACGUAUGGUGCAAGCGUUAUCCGGAUUUACUGGGUGUAAAGGGAGUGCAGGCGGCGCGGCAAGUCUGAUGUGAAAGCCCGGGGCCCAACCCCGGGACUGCACUGGAAACUGCCGUGCUGGAGUGUCGGAGGGGUAAGCGGAAUUCCUGGUGUAGCGGUGAAAUGCGUAGAUAUCAGGAGGAACACCGGUGGCGAAGGCGGCUUACUGGACGAUGACUGACGCUGAGGCUCGAAAGCGUGGGGAGCAAACAGG